UGGUUGGUUUGAUUAAUCUACGAACAUGGUUCUUGCCUUUUACCAGAGCCAUCCGGGUACUGUCAAUUAAUUCAUCAAUUAAUGAUGAAUCGAAAGCAAAUUUAACCUUGAA